AGAUCGGUUGCCUAUUGACCCUUGUCGAUACUAAUAUGGUUGCGCACGCUGAGGCCAGUAAACAUAUUGGGAUUGGCUUGGUGAUGUAGGCUACAUCCCGGUCAUGGUGGGUUCGAUGGUGGGUUUGUUACUUUCGCAUCGUUCGGUGCAUUUUGGGGGCUGUUUUGGCUUUUGGUUGCUUGCUUAGCCUUUUGGUUGGGUGGGUGGCUACUAGUUGGGCGGCUUUCGGGAAUGAUGACCGGGGAGGUGCAUGAGUGGUGAUUGGUUUGUUACGUGUGGAUGGCUGUUUGCUCGCGCACCAACGUUCACGCUGCAUACCUCUUCAGUUCUGCGUCAAGACUGGCUUUGUCUUGAGCAUGUUGUGGGUUUCCUGUGUUGCAUACCUAAUUGACGGUAACGUGUGGGUUUUACGGUUUUCUUUUUCGUCAUGCGUCCAUCAUGCGGCGUGGGAUGAACAAUGAAACGGUCUUUGUAAUCCACAGUGUUGUGCUUGCAACAACGAUGUGGCCUAUGAAGCAUC
rnacentral:misc_RNA from 2 species